CCAGGCCGGCCAGGUCGCUCCAGUCCACCGGCGGCCCCGGGUUGAUGAUCUCGUUGGUGACCAGGUCGAGGAGAUUCCACCUGGAGGAAAAUUAGGAUGCAACAGGAAGAAAGGAAGCGUAGAGAAUCGUAGAAAGAUGAACAUAGUGGGCAGAGCGUCCGGCAUUUUGUAAAAACGUGGCUGGCAGAGAGAAGGAAGAAACAUCUCGUCCAGAAUUUGAAGAUGUGCUCCUUUCCCGCUAUCACAUACAUCGUUGUAGAGAAAUUUUGUGGGGGAAUCCUGACACCAAAUCAAAGAGUGGGAGACAAGAUGCAGUCCUCAUUGUUCAAGAUCACGGCAGAAAAGGAGGAAAGAGAAAGGCAAGGAAGAGCGGCAUGAGGUGAAAAAAGA